GGGAGGAGUGUUGUACUUCGACAUCAUGGACAAGAAUAGUCCAGUGAACUGUAAUGACAGUCCAAUCUAGCUUCAAAUAAGCAUGGUAGAGAUAGGGAUAAGAACGUUGUCGUUCUAACUCCUGAUGGAUAAGAGUCCUUCCAAAGCAGUUGGGUGUAACUAGCAUCGAGAAUCUAGCUGGGCAUAGUUCAAGUACGUAGUCAACAAGAUAUUGAUGUUGAAUGAUCAACCCUUUCAGUAUCAUCAACCCUUUCAGCAAAGAAAGGUCAUAUUGCCUGUGACCUUGAAGGCGACACUAAGGAUGCACCUGGAGGAGGUAACAUUGAUUAUUCUGCUUUUGCAGAUACAUACAUCCUAGUGCUUAUCUCAUAUCUGUUGACUUCCACAGGAGUACAGGAGUACAGUUUUUCCGGUGAUCAUAUUUUAGUGCUUUUGCAGAUGUAUACAUUCUGUUACUGAUGAGCACGAGCAGAAUCAUAUGCC
rnacentral:lncRNA from 1 species